rnacentral:rRNA from 1 species
GUCUACGGCCACACCACCCUGAAGGCACCCAAUUUCGUCUGAUCUUGGAAGCUAAGCAGGGUCCUGCCUGGUUAGUACUUGGAUGGGAGAAAAAUACAGAAACCUGCUCAAGGCC